UACGAAGGGGCUAGCGUUGUUCGGAUUUAUCUGGGCAGUAAAGCGCACGUAGGCGGACUUUUAAGUCAGGGGUGAAAUCCCGGGCUCGAACCCCGGAACUGCCUUUGAUACUGGAAGUCUUGAGUUCGAGAGAGGUGAGUGGAAUUGCGAGUGUAGAGGUGAAAUUCGUAGAUAUUCGCAAGAACACCAGUGGCGAAGGCGGACUCACUGGCCCGAUACUGACGCUGAGGCACGAAAGCGUGGGGAGCA
rnacentral:rRNA from 1 species